AUUGAACGCUGGCGGCAGGCCUAACACAUGCAAGUCGAACGAGUGGCGGACGGUUGUGUAAUGUCUGGGAAACUGCCGUAUGGAGGGGGAUAACUACUGGAAACGGUAGCUAAUACCGCAUAUCAUCGGAUUUGCCCAGAUGGGAUUAGCUAGUAGGUGGGGUAACGGCUCACCUAGGGGACGAUCCCUAGCUGGUCUUAGAAGAUGACGGGCCCGACUGGAACUGAAACACGGUCAAGACGCCACCGGGAGGCGGCAGUGGGGCAUAUUGGACAAUGGACGAGAGGCUGAUGAAGACAUGGCGCGUGCAUGAAGAAGGCAUUCGGGUUGUAGAGUACUUUCAGCGGGGAGGCGUUACUCGCAGAAGAAGCCCCGGCUAACUCCGUGCCAGCAGCCGCGGUAAUAC
rnacentral:rRNA from 1 species